rnacentral:rRNA from 1 species
UACGAGGUGUGCAAGCGUUGCUCGGAAUCACUGGGCAUAAAGGGUGCGUAGGCGGUGUGGUCAGUCGGAUGUGAAAUCCCUCGGCUUAACCGGGGAACUGCAUCCGAUACUACCACGCUUGAGGGUGAAAGGGGCAAGCGGAAUUCCAGGUGUAGCGGUGGAAUGCGUUGAUAUCUGGGAGAACGCCAACGGCGAAGGCAGCUUGCUGGGUCACCUCUGACGCUGAGGCACGAAAGCUAGGGGAGCAAACAGG